GAAGGCUGUGCCACACAGAGGUCCCCUGGGUCACAAUAGCAGCUGAAUCUCAGUGGCCAUGACAGCAAGGCAACAACGGGGCCAGCUCCCCAAGGUCCAUGUAAGUGCAGCUGCCCAGGACUCCCCUUGCUGUCCAGACAUAGGCUCUCCUACCUGCUUCCAACUUCAGUUCUGUGGCAUUUCCAGGAAAUAUGGGUAGUUAACACAUAACCAUGCUCAAUGAGAGCCAACCUGUGGCUGUGCGGCCCUUUCUCGGCACGUGGCCCAAGCCUGUGCUGGGUCUACGCAGUGAAGUACAAGGAUUAAACGUUUAUGACAUCCCACCACUGAUCUAAAAGGAUCCACUCACAGAGGAAAAUGAAGACUGAAAAGCCAACACCAACACCACCCUUCUGUGCUUCUCAGCACUUCUGGGCCUUCACGUCCUCCUUUUCCUCCCCCACCUUUAUAAGCACUCUCCUUUUCUUCAAUAUACACUCCAAACCCUCUCCGUCCCACCUUAAGUGAUCUGCCUUGAGCUGAGCCCGUUUUUUAAACAGAUUUAUCUUAAUUCCAAGGCCAGAAUUCAGGUACCAGAAAUGGGUACUUUGCCCAGAUCAUCCCUGACAAAAAUAUUUGCCUAUUAACACAAUCUUACUACAACUAAAUAGAAAACAAAAACUGUUGACCUAUAAGAUAAAUGAAUCUUUCAAAGCAUUAUUUGGUUGCUCUACCUGAAGAAUACUAAAUUGUAACCCAGUCAUCCAGCAUGAGACUCUACCUGUAAACCUCGAAGGCUUAUUCCUGCCUAGAGCCCCAGGGAAGCAGCUUCCACCUCCACAUUCCAAGCUGCCAUGGAAACAACAAUGCUGCCUAUUCCACUACAGGCUUUGCGAGACUCCUCUGAAGACCUCCCUCCAGAGUCCACAGUUGCGAGACUCCUCUGAAGACCCCUAUCCAGAGUCCACAGUUGCGAGACUCCUCUGAAGACCCCUCUCCAGAGUCCACAGUUGACUUCCUCCUCAGAGUCCUACCACAGGAUUAAUUCCUGAAAUCUUUCCCAAAUCCAAACGUUAAGCAUUAUCUACAUCAGUCAAUGUCCUACUAAAAGUUUCCAUUACACAUGCUAUAAAUUUUGACUGAUGAAAACUAAAAAUCUAG
rnacentral:lncRNA from 1 species